rnacentral:tRNA from 1 species
GCGGGUGUAGUUUAAUGGUAGAACUUCAGCCUUCCAAGCUGAUCGCAGGGGUUCGAUUCCCCUCACCCGCUCCA